GCCGAAGUGGCGGAACCGGCAGACGCGCACGACUCAAAAUCGUGUGGGGAAACCCGUGUGGGUUCGACUCCCACCUUCGGCACCA
rnacentral:tRNA from 1 species